rnacentral:snoRNA from 1 species
UGUAUGAUGAUAAAACUGUCAUGUUGCUCGAAGAUUUUUCGAUGUGAGCGCAAACGAUUUCUCAAUAGACUACAACGGUAUCUGAUU